ACGUAGGGUGCAAGCGUUAUCCGGAAUUAUUGGGCGUAAAGAGUGCGUAGGUGGUUUUUUAAGCGUGAGGUGAAAGGCAAUAGCUUAACUAUUGUAAGCCUUGCGAACUGGCAGGCUUGAGUGCAGGAGUGGAAAGUGGAAUUCCUAGUGUGGCGGUGGAAUGCACAGAUAUUAGGAGUAAGACCGAUGGCGAAGGCGGAUCACUAGGAUGCGACUCCCGCUGAGGCGGGAAAGCGUGGGAAGCAAACAG
rnacentral:rRNA from 1 species